AUGAACGCUGGCGGCGUGCCUAACACCUGCAGGUCGAGCGGCAGCGAGGGGUGCUUGCACCCUGUCGGCGAGCGGCGGACGGCUGAGUAACGCGUGGGAACGUGCCCCAAAGUGAGGAAUAACUGCCCGAAAGGGUAGCUAAUACCGCAUAUUAUCUUCGGAUCAAAGGAUUUAUCCGCUUUGGGAGCGGCUCGCGUCGGAUUAGGUAGUUGGUGAGGUAAUGGCUCACCAAGCCGACGAUCCGUAGCUGGUCUGAGAGGAUGACCAGCCAGACUGGAACUGAGACACGGUCCAGACUCCUACGGGAGGCAGCAGUGAGGAAUCUUCCACAAUGGGCGAAAGCCUGAUGGAGCAACGCCGCGUGCAGGACGAAGGCCUUCGGGUUGUAAACUGCUUUUAUAAGUGAGGAAUAUGACGGUAACUUAUGAAUAAGGAUCGGCUAACUACGUG
rnacentral:rRNA from 1 species